rnacentral:rRNA from 1 species
CCGUAGGUGAACCUGCGGAAGGAUCAUUAAUGAAAUGUUUGUCGAGAAGGGUUGUAGCUGGCCUCCAGGGGCAUGUGCACGCCCUGAUCGCAUCCACCUCCCACACCUGUGCACUGCCUGUAGCUUGGGAUGAUCACGGAGCCCUGAUGGGUGACGAAUGCCCUUGUCUAUGAAUAUUUUCACACACGCUCAAAGUACAACAGAAUGUAUAUCAUAUUGCGUCUGAUAAACGUGACAAAUACAACUUUCAACAACGGAUCUCUUGGCUCUCGCAUCGAUGAAGAACGCAGCGAAAUGCGAUAAGUAAUGUGAAUUGCAGAAUUCAGUGAAUCAUCGAAUCUUUGAACGCCUUGCUGAGAGAGCGUGGAGCAUCUCAUGCGCUUUGUGGGGUGAAGUUGGACUUGAAUAUGCUGAUGAAUGGCUUUAUCCCUGUUGUGCUUGUCGGCUCUUUGAAUGCAUGAGCUUCAUUGAAGUAUCCGAGUGAUAUAUCUAUGUCCCGAGAAAGCCGAAGGGAUCUUUGAUCACGCGGGGACCCCGUGACGACUCCCCGCUGGGGGAAAA